rfam:Chelonia mydas contig258810, whole genome shotgun sequence.
AUUGAUGUCUUACCAGACAAAGUUAGAUCUAGCUAUUUCGUCUAAUACUGUCUGGUAAUGCCGUCCAU